ACCUGAAACCGUGUACGUACAAGCAGUGGGAGCACCUUCGGGUGUGACUGCGUACCUUUUGUAUAAUGGGUCAGCGACUUAUAUUCUGUAGCAAGGUUAACCGUAUAGGGGAGCCGCAGGGAAACCGAGUCUUAACUGGGCGUUAAGUUGCAGGGUAUAGACCCGAAACCCGGUGAUCUAGCCAUGGGCAGGUUGAAGGUUGGGUAACACUAACUGGAGGACCGAACCGACUAAUGUUGAAAAAUUAGCGGAUGACUUGUGGCUGGGGGUGAAAGGCCAAUCAAACCGGGAGAUAGCUGGUUCUCCCCGAAAGCUAUUUAGGUAGCGCCUCGUGAAUUCAUCUUCGGGGGUAGAGCACUGUUUCGGCUAGGGGGUCAUCCCGACUUACCAACCCGAUGCAAACUACGAAUACCGAAGAAUGUUAUCACGGGAGACACACGGCGGGUGCUAACGUCCGUCGUGAAGAGGGAAACAACCCAGACCGCCAGCUAAGGUCCCAAAGUCACAGUUAAGUGGGAAACGAUGUGGGAAGGCACAGACAGCCAGGAUGUUGGCUUAGAAGCAGCCAUCAUUUAAAGAAAGCGUAAUAGCUCACUGGUCGAGUCGGCCUGCGCGGAAGAUGUAACGGGGCUAAACUGUGCACCGAAGCUGCGGCAGCGACACUAUGUGUUGUUGGGUAGGGGAGCGUUCUGUAAGCCUGCGAAGGUGGCCUGUGAGGGUUGCUGGAGGUAUCAGAAGUGCGAAUGCUGACAUAAGUAACGAUAAUGCGGGUGAAAAGCCCGCACGCCGGAAGACCAAGGGUUCCUGUCCAACGUUAAUCGGGGCAGGGUGAGUCGACCCCUAAGGCGAGGCCGAAAGGCGUAGUCGAUGGGAAACAGGUUAAUAUUCCUGUACUUGGUGUUACUGCGAAGGGGGGACGGAGAAGGCUAUGUUAGCCGGGCGACGGUUGUCCCGGUUUAAGCAUGUAGGCGGAGGUUC
rnacentral:rRNA from 1 species